GGGAAGUUGGUGAAUCUGGUGCUCACGUGCCAUUGAAGACGGUGAGAAGGCAGUUCGAUUCUGUCACUUCCCA
rnacentral:tRNA from 1 species